GGAGGUAGAUCAUUGUAUUAAAGACAUUGGUGAAGGUUUGACUCAACUUAGAUCGAAGCAGAUCCAACUCUCAGUGCCAAAAUGGUAAUCCAGCUGAAAAUAAAUGGUCCCAGAGGAGAGGAAAAGAUCACCGAUAUUUGUGAAAAUAUAGAGGAGUUGGAGAGCAUGACUGUGCUGGACCUGAAAAACAUCAUUUAUGAAACGCUUAUGAUAAAGGCAGACUUCCGGAUUGUCUUUAGAAACCAGCCACUAGCGGAGCCAGCUCUGCUGAUAUCUUAUGGGAUCAAACACAUGUCCACCAUUCACACGCUGUUGAUGCUGCCUGGAGGAUACUGAUAUGAGGACAAAAGAAUCCCCACAGACUCUGCACAGACACAAUUAACCUAACAGUUUAUUAUAAUCUAAUAUCUUCUCUCAUUUGAAAACAAGAAAUAAAUAAAUCAUGCUGUUUUCA